UACGGAGGGUGCAAGCGUUAUCCGGCGUCACUGGGUUUAAAGGGUGCGUAGGCGGCUUGAUAAGUCAGAGGUGAAAGGCUGUGGCUCAACCAUGGGAUUGCCUUUGAUACUGUUGGGCUUGAAUCAGGAUGAGGUUGGCAGAAUGUGGCAUGUAGCGGUGAAAUGCAUAGAUAUGCCAUAGAAUACCGAUUGCGAAGGCAGCUGUCUGGCCCUUGAUUGACGCUGAGGCACGAAAGCGUGGGGAGCGAACAGG
rnacentral:rRNA from 1 species